AUUGAACGCUGGCGGCAGGCCUAACACAUGCAAGUCGAGCGGAUGAAGGGAGCUUGCUCCUGGAUUCAGCGGCGGACGGGUGAGUAAUGCCUAGGAAUCUGCCUGGUAGUGGGGGAUAACGUCCGGAAACGGGCGCUAAUACCGCAUACGUCCUGAGGGAGAAAGUGGGGGAUCUUCGGACAUCACGCUAUCAGAUGAGCCUAGGUCGGAUUAGCUAGUUGGUGGGGUAAAGGCCUACCAAGGCGACGAUCCGUAACUGGUCUGAGAGGAUGAUCAGUCACACUGGAACUGAGACACGGUCCAGACUCCUACGGGAGGCAGCAGUGGGGAAUAUUGGACAAUGGGCGAAAGCCUGAUCCAGCCAUGCCGCGUGUGUGAAGAAGGUCUUCGGAUUGUAAAGCACUGUAAGUUGGGAGGAAGGGCAGUAAGUUAAUACCUGGCUGUUUUGACGUUACCAACAGAAUAAGCACCGGCUAACUUCGUG
rnacentral:rRNA from 1 species